rnacentral:rRNA from 1 species
UACGUAGGUGGCAAGCGUUGUCCGGAUUUACUGGGCGUAAAGAGCGCGCAGGCGGUUGGAUAAGUCGAAUGUGAAAGCCCCCGGCUUAACUGGGGAGGGUCAUUCGAUACUGUUCAACUUGAAGGCAGGAGAGGGCAGCAGAAUUCCCGGUGUAGUGGUGAAAUGCGUAGAUAUCGGGAGGAAUACCAGUGGCGAAGGCGGCCUUCUGGACGGAUACUGACGCUGAGGCGCGAAAGCCAGGGGAGCAAACGGG